CGCGUAGGCGGCCUUGCGUGUCUUUCGUGAAAUCCCUCGGCUUAACUGAGGACGUGCGGAAGAAACUGCAGGGCUGGAGUCCGGGAGAGGGGGGUGGAAUUCCCAGUGUAGCGGUGAAAUGCGUAGAUAUUGGGAGGAACACCGGUGGCGAAGGCGGCCCCCUGGACCGGUACUGACGCUGAGGCGCGAAAGCGUGGGUAGCAAACG
rnacentral:rRNA from 1 species